CCUACGGGGGGCAGCAGUGGGGAAUAUUGGACAAUGGGCGGAAGCCUGAUCCAGCGACGCCGCGUGAGUGAUGAAGGCUCUAGGGAUGUAAAGCUCUAUCAGCAGGGAAGAAAAUGACGGUACCUGUCUAAGUAGCCCCGGCUAACUACGUGCCAGCAGCCGCGGUAAUACGCAGGGGGCAAGCGUUAUCCGGAUUUACUGGGUGUAAAGGGAGCGUAGACGGUUCAGCAAGUCUGAUGUGAAAGGUCGGGGCCCAACCCCGGGACUGCAUUGGAAACUGGUGGACUGGAGUUCAGGAGGGGUAAGCGGAAUUCGUGGUGUAGCGGUGAAAUGCGUAGAUAUGAGGAAGAACACCAGUGGCGAAGGCGGCUUACUGGACUGUAACUGACGCUGAGGCUCGAAAGCGUGGGGAGCAAACAGGAUUAGAUACCCGAGUAGUC
rnacentral:rRNA from 1 species